UACGUAGGUGGCAAGCGUUAUCCGGAUUUACCGGGUGUAAAGGGCGUGUAGGCGGGGACGCAAGUCAGAUGUGAAAACCACGGGCUCAACCUGUGGCCUGCAUUUGAAACUGUGUUUCUUGAGUACUGGAGAGGCAGACGGAAUUCCUAGUGUAGCGGUGAAAUGCGUAGAUAUUAGGAGGAACACCAGUGGCGAAGGCGGUCUGCUGGACAGCAACUGACGCUGAGGCGCGAAAGCGUGGGGAGCAAACAGG
rnacentral:rRNA from 1 species